rnacentral:rRNA from 1 species
AUUGAACGCUGGCGGCAUGCCUUGCACAUGCAAGUCGAACGGCAGCAUGAUCUAUCUUGCUAGAUUGAUGGCGAGUGGCGAUCGGGUGAGUAAUACAUCGGAACUUGCUCUGUAGUGGGGGAUCACUAGUCGAAUGAUUACCUAAUACCCCAUACCACCGGCGGGUGAAAGUGGCGGGCCGCAAGGCCUCAUGCUGUAUGAGCGGCCGAUGUCUGAUUAGCUAGGUGGUGAGGUAAGGGCUCACCAAGGCGCCGAUCGGUACCUGUACUGAGAGGCCGAGCAGCCACACGGGGACUGAGACUGGGCCCAGACUCCUACGGGAGGCAGCAGUGGGGAAUUUUGGACUAAGGGCGAAAGCGUGAUCCAGCAAUGCCGCGUGUGUGAAGAAGGACUUCGGGUUGUAAAGCAAUUUUGUCCGGAAAGAAAUGACUCUGGUUAAUACCUGGGGUGAAUGACGGUACCGGAAGAAUAAGGACCGGCUAACUACGUG